GAUCAUUAAUUACGAAAGCUAUAGCCCCUUCGGGGGUUAUUGCAUCCACCCUUUGUCUACGUGUACCUCUUGUUGUUUCCUCGGCAGGCUUGCCUGCCGCUAGGAACCCCCAAAACUCUUGUAUUUACAGUAUUAAAAUCUCCGAUAACUAUUUAAAUUAUUACAACUUUCAACAAUGGAUCUCUUGGUUCUGGCAUCGAUGAAGAACGCAGCGAAAUGCGAAAAGUAGUGUGAAUUGCAGAAUUCCGUGAAUCAUCGAAUCUUUGAACGCACAUUGCGCCCCUCGGUAUUCCGUGGGGCAUGCCUGUUCGAGCGUCAUUUACACCCUCAAGCUCUGCUUGGUGUUGGGCGUCUGUCCCGCUUUAUGCGCGGACUCGCCCCAAAGUCAUUGGCAGCGGUCGUGCCAGCUUCUCGCGCAGCACAUUUGCGUUUCUUGAAGUUUGGUGGAUCAGCAUCCAGUAAGCUCUUUUAUGACUUGACCUCGGAUCAGGUAGGGAUACCCGCUGAACUUAAGCAUAUCAAUAAGCGGAGGAAAAGAAACCAACAGGGAUUGCCCUAGUAACGGCGAGUGAAGCGGCAAUAGCUCAAAUUUGAAAUCUGGCUCCUUUUAGGGGUCCGAGUUGUAAUUUGCAGAGGGUGCUUUGGCGUUGGUAGCGGUCUAAGUUCCUUGGAACAGGACAUCGCAGAGGGUGAGAAUCCCGUUUGUGGUCGCAUGCCUUCGCCGUGUAAAGCCCCUUCGACGAGUCGAGUUGUUUGGGAAUGCAGCUCUAAAUGGGAGGUAAAUUUCUUCUAAAGCUAAAUACUGGCCAGAGACCGAUAGCGCACAAGUAGAGUGAUCGAAAGAUGAAAAGCACUUUGGAAAGAGAGUCAAACAGCACGUGAAAUUGUUGAAAGGGAAGCGCUUGCAGCCAGACUUGCCCGUAGUUGCUCACCUAGGCUUUUGCCUGGGGCAUUCUUCUGCGGGCAGGCCAGCAUCAGUUUGGGCGGUCGGAUAAAGGCCUCUGUCAUGUAGCUUCCUUCGGGAAGAACUUAUAGGGGAGGCGAAAUGCGACCAGCCCGGACUGAGGUCCGCGC
rnacentral:rRNA from 1 species